UCAAGUUUCCUCUCAACGGCUAUCACUACCAUCACCAUUACUAAGAGACACCCUUGCUGCUGAUUGCGCUCUUUGCCUCCUCUUUGCAUGUCGUUAUUCAUCGCCAAUAGAUGCCACCAUCCACGACUCCCCAUGGUCAAACCCUUUUGUGAGGCCUCCUUUGGGCUAUUUGUAGCCACCGUGGUUGUGCAUCUACUGCCUCUUGCAUGUUACGAUUCACCC
rnacentral:lncRNA from 1 species